UACGGAAGGCAGCAGUGGGGAAUAUUGCACAAUGGGCGAAAGCCUGAUGCAGCUAUGCCGCGUGUAUGAAGAAGGCCUUAGGGUUGUAAAGUACUUUCAUCGGGGAGGAAAAAACAAAACUAAUAAUUUUAUUUCUUGACGUUACCCGAAAAAGAAGCACCGGCUAACUCCGUGCCAGCAGCCGCGGUAAUACGGAGGGUGCUAGCGUUAAUCAGAAUUACUGGGCGUAAAGAGCACGUAGGUGGUUUUUUUAAGUCAGAUGUGAAAUCCCUGGGCUUAACCUGGAACUGCAUUUUGAAACUGAAAUACUAGAGUAUCGUAGAGGGAGGUAGAAUUCUAGGUGUAGCGGUGAAAUGCGUAGAUAUCUGGAGGAAUACCUGUGGCGAAAGCGGCCUCCUAAACGAAUACUGACACUGAGGUGCGAAAGCGUGGGGAGCAAACAGGGAUUAGAUACCCGU
rnacentral:rRNA from 1 species